UUUUUUUUGGAGAUGGAGUCUCGCUCUGUUGCCCAGGCUGGAGUGCAGUGGCGCGAUCUUGGCUCACUGCAACCUCCACCUCCCAAGUUGAAGCCACCACACCCGGCUAAUUUGUUUGUAUUUUUAGUAGAGACAGGAUUUCACCAUGUUAGCGAGGUUGGUCUUGAUAUCCUGACCUUGUGAUCCGCCCACCUCGGCCUCUCAAAGUGCUGGGAUUACAGGCUUGAGGCACCGCGCCAUGCCGUUCACGGAAAUUUCUUGAGAGGACCGCAGAAUAUGAUUUUUUGUAAGCCACCAACUUGAUCAUUUAGACAUAGAGCAUGUCUAAUUAAAUUAAUAUCUACUUCUCUUUUGUGCUUUUUACAUCUUAUGUUGAACAAAGCAGCUUAUGGAGAAAAUUUUGCUUUAAGACUUUGUGAAGUUUCCUAGGGGUUUAUCCAACAGUAUAUUUCUAUUCUGUCCUUUUGCAAGUUUAGCAAGCUUGCAAAAUUAAAAUAAAAGUGGUUUUAAAAGUCUUACAACAUUUCUGGGCUUUUUUCAGAGUCCUUGAAUGUUUAGUCCUAAAACAGUUGAGUUGAAGGACAAACAUUUUUGUCACGUUUGUAGUUAGUCCAUAAGUAUGUAUUGAGCCAUGAAAUAGCAUCCUUGUCAAAGCAUGUUGGGACAGUAGUGCAGGAUAUUAAUUCAGUACCAUGGCUGUAUCUUGGUGAGGCACAUAAAUUUUACUAUGCUGCCCAAAUCACUUAACUCAUCUAUCUGACCAGAAAUGAAGCAAGCUUCCAGAAAUUGCACAAGAGCAGUAUAGAAUGUACCAUGACUACACAAUAUUUUAUUUGCAAAUCUACUGUGUCAAGACAUCUUACACUCUCAGGCAGUAUCUUUCUUUAGUAACAUUUUUAUCCAAAAUAAAAUUUUCGGAAUCUUAUGUUUCUGGUUUUUUGUACAAUAGAGGCUUCAUUAUCUAUAGUGCAUCAUGGCAUAUUGUGUUUGUUGAAUGCUCCUUUCUCCUUCCUAUAUAGGAAAUUCAAUGAACAAGAGAGACAAUUAUGCAAUCCAUAAAAAUUCAUACAUUUGCUUGCAAUGAUAUUAAACUGGACGGUCUUAUGCUUCUUAUUCUCUCUGCAUCUGGAUAAAAUGGAAACAUUUUCAAAUUUCUUGAAGCAUCUUUGAAAGUGUUUUUCCACACUGGGAAACAGGGAGACACAGUCUCUACAAAAAAUAAAGAAAAUUAGCUGAACAUGGUGUCACAUGCCUGUCCUAGCUACUCCUACUUGGGAGGCUGAGGUGGGAGGACUGUUUGAGCCCUAGAAGUUGAGACUGCAGUGAGCCAUGAUUGCACCACUGCACUCCAACUUGGGUGACAGUGCGAGAACCUAUCUCAAAAAAAAAAAGUGUUUUUCCAUUGGAAAUAAAUAUUUAUUAUUAGAAGAACAAUCUAAAAGUAUGAAUGUUUGAAUAUCAUAAAAAGCGUAACAAGUUAUGCUAAUCUACCCCUUUGUGGGAGCAUACAUGUUGUCACAAUGACACUACAAAGAUGGCAAGAUAGUGCUUCCCUCCCUUACCUGAUGUUGAGUUGUAUUCAUCACAGAAAUCUUAACAACCAACUAGAAAACAAUGAUGGAUUGCACCUUUCCUGGCCACAAGGUGUUGUCCUCAUAGUCUUGGUAAUAAAUUGUAUUUUCCUUUUUUUUUUUUUUCUUUGAGACAGAGUCUCGCUGGUCUUGAACUCCUGACUUCGUGAUCCACCUGCCUUGGCCUCCCAAAGUGCUGGGAUUACAGGCAUGAGCCACCGUGCCCAGCCAUUGUGUCUUUCUUUUAGUGCCAAGAAAAGAUUUCCUAAGCAGUAGAUAUAAAAGAGAACCUAUUGUUAGAAUGAACAUAAGUCAAAAAAGCUUUUGCAUAUUUCAAGUAUUAUCUUAUAGAAGGUUUUAUUCUUUCUAGACAGAAAGAAGAGAGGCUUUGUGCUAAGUGUUUGAUUUCUAGCUCUUACAUCUAAAACAAAGCAAUGACAAAUGAAAAGUUUAUGUGUAGCCUUUAGAGUAGCACCAUAAGGGUGGGAAAGGGGUGGAAGCUAUUCGGGAUAUCAUACAUAUAAAAUCAAAACCCAUCAAAAAAUGGGUAUUAACAUCUGUGAAAUUAGCAUCAGUUUAGUCAUAUGGUGACAUAAAUAUUUGUCACAACUACAGUGCUAGAAGCAUAGAUCGUACAGUGUCUUAAAUGCAUGUCCUUUAACUUUUGGUACCUAUAGCUGUGUAGUAGAGGGUAGCGUUGGUGGUAUUAGGGCAUGAUGGAAGAUGACUGGCACAGCAUCACGAUCUAGUGGUUAAGAACAGCUACUGGAGUCAAAGCUACAUGAGUUUGAAUCCUGCCUCCACCAGUUAAACCAGUGGGCCCUUGGGCAAGAUAAUUAAUCUCAAUGUUUGUCAGUUUCUUCAUCUUUAAAGAGGAGGAUAAGCAUAGUACUUACCUUAGAGGGUUGUUAUGAGGAUUAAAUGAGUUAAUAUUUGCAAAGAACUUAGCACAGUGUCUGGCCCAUAAUAAACCCUAUGUAAGGGAUUAUUGAAGACAACAUACAUAUAAGUAGGGAAUAGAGGAGCAGAGGCAUGUGUUCCUGAUAAAGGAGAUCCUUUAACCCCCACCCGAAACCACCCAUUUCCUUCACUUCUAGAUUCAUAUGCUUUGUUCCUGUAUCUUUCUUUCUUUUUUUUUUUUUUUUUUUUUUUUUGAGACGGAGUCUCGUUCUGUCGCCCAGGCUGGAGUGCAGUGGCGCGAUCUCGGCUCACUGCAAGCUCUGCCUCCCGGGUUCAAACAAUUCUCCUGCCUCAGCAUCCCUGAGUAGCUGGGACUACAGGCACAUGCCACCAGGCCUGGCUAAUUUUUUGUAUUUUUAGUAGAGACAGGGUUUCACCAUGUUAGCCAGGAUGGUCUCGAUCUCCUAUAUCUUAUAAACUCAUUCUAGAUCCCAUGUCCGGGGAAUUCCAAGAACUAAGACAUUCAGCUCACUCUCCUUGCUCUGACUGGGAUUUUUUAAAAAAUCAAAUGCUAAAUAUAUUGUUAGCAUGGCUGGCAGCAUCUCGUAUCGAUCCAUUAGUGUUAUAUCAUGAAUCUUUCAUUAUACUAACAUUUUGUCUUUCUGAAAGACUGUCAACUAUGAUUUCAUCAUGAAAAUCACCAUCAGCUGUAGAGCUAUGCAAAUGAGAAUUCAUCUGCAUGCUUUUGGCCUAAAUGGAAUUUGAUGGAGACCUAAUUAAAAUGAGAGAAAUUGGACUAGAUAAUCUCUAAGGUCCCAUUUAACUUUAAAGAUCAAUGAGUCCGUAAAACUAGACUGUGAGUCUAAAAGAACCUUAAUGUCCUCAGUCUUUUAGUACCUUUUCUGUCUGGAUUUCAUGGGUUGGUCUGAUAGUUGAGAGAAAGGGCAGAAGCCCAUAAGUGUACCCUAGGAAACCUACCAGUGUCACUCCCAUGAAGCUUUGGCUACUUAGCAACUUAUACCAGCAACUUAUAACUGGUACCUUCUGCUAUUGGAACUACAUCUACCAGAAUUGAAGAAGGGACAAGAGGGGACAAGUCAGGAGUCCAGAGCCUGCAAACUCCUCUAAGAUCUCAACAGUCUUUGCACCACACCCCGGCAGGGCUGACUGCAGGGUCAUGUGACCUCUGCAGUCACACAGGGCCCCAUGCAUAGAAGGGCCCCUCAUUUGGUUUAAUGUUCUGCUGUUACCAUCUUGAAAUUCCUAAUAAUUAUUGAAUGGAGGGCCCACAUUUUCAUUUUGUCCUGGACCCUGCAAAUGAUGUAGCUGGUCCUGCACUCAGGGGAAGCCAGUUCCUUGUAGAGCCAUGACUUGCUUUGUGAAUUCACCUUCAUUGGUGACUUGGUGUUAUAUACGUAAGACAACAGCCAUGUGUAAAUCACUGAAAGGACCUUGGAAACAGUCCCUUGAGUAUCUACAAUCUACAGUCCACAUCCUCUGUGCCCCUUGCUUUUGGGGAAGGUGAACCCCCAAAAAAGAAAGUGUGUUUGUUUUAUUUUAUUGUUUAUUGAUUCUGACAACAGCAUUAUAAAGUAAGGCAAUAAUAUGACCCUUGAUGUUUGCAGAGUUACUGAUACAGUGGGUGUAUUUCCUUAUGACAUCUAUUGAAGCAAAUACUUUAAUUAGUUUUUUAAAAAGUAUUGUGGUACUGAGGAAUAAUAGGAAAUUGGGACAAGGUACAAUUCUUGAUAUGAUAGACUUGCAGAUCUUUUUUUUUAAAUGUCUUAAUUAAGCUGUUUCUUAAUUAAAUAUUUACAAUGCUCAUAAUAGAUUAGUUCAUUAAACCACUACUAUUAAAACCAUUAAAGCUAUUUCUUGUGUAGGUUUCACCUAGGGUACUUACUCAGAAAAGGAAAUUAGGAGAGGUAGUAAUAAAGCCUAUCAUUUAUCAUCAGGGAUUUUAUAUCUGCCAACAUUUUAUUUUGUCAUUAUUCCCAUUUGUCUCUGGGAAGAACACUAAAGCUGACUGGAGUCUAGUCUUAUAAAAUUGCAUAGGUUAAAUCCUCCUUUGCUAAUGCAAAUGUAAAUAUUUUACAUUUAACCUUGUAAAGUAUAUACACAUAUAUGUAUAUAUAUAUAUUUCUUGUGUUUAAAAAUUAUUUAAUGUGAAGUAUUAUGUUGGUGCAAAAAUAAUUGCGGUCUUUGCCAUUACUUUCAAUGGCAAAAACCACAAUUACUUUUUCGCCAACCUGAUAUUUCUGGGCAAUUGAAAAUAAGAGUGCAUGCAUGCGUUUUCACUUGUUCUUAGGCUACUUCGUCCAAUAAUAUAUUUGAGUAGUUCUGAACAGGAACACAAGUAAGGAGAUUUUUUUUUUUUUUUUUUUUUUCUGAUGCAGGGUCUUGCUGUGUCACCCAGGCUGGAGUGCAGUGGUAUGAUCUUGGUUCACUGAAGCCUCAACUUCUGUGGCUCAAGCCAUCCUCCCACUUCAGCCUCCUGAGUAGCUGGGACUACAGAUACAUGCUACCAUGCCCAGCUAAUUUUUUAAAAUUUUUUGAAGAGACAGAGUCUCGCCAUGUUGCCUGGGCUGGCCUCAAACUCUCCGGCUCAAGCAAUCCUUCCACCUCGGCUUCCCCAAAUGUUGAGAUUACAGGUGUGAGCCGCCGAACAUGGCCAGCAGGCAGAUUAUAAUCAGCCAAUUCUAGGCCAUGCUGUAAGGAAGUGGACCCGUCUUUGACAGCAGGGUCCUGGCACCCAAGUGGACACAGGUGGUGGUCCUGUAACAGUGGCUUGAUUACGCUGUUUUGUGUGUCUAAUCUGAACACAGGGAAGUAUAAGAUGUGUAAGCAGCUUUAUCAAAGAGUUAUAACAAGUUUUACUUUCCAGAUAUGAAAUGCUGAAUUUGUAUAAAUAAAUUAAACCUUAAUAGCACAGUCAUUAGUAUUCAGAAAUUUAAGCUAUAAGAUCACUCUGGAGAAGCCCUCCUGUAUCCAUACUUGAAUAUAAUGAUUUACUUGUGCCUCUGUUUACCCUUAAACCACAAGCUCAUCCAGGGAAAGGGUAAUGUCUUAUUCAUUGCAGACAUGCCAGCUGCCCUAGCAUGUAGCUCGUAUACAGGAGGUGCACAAUGAAUGCUUGCUGAGUGAAUGAAUGAAUGAAUGAAUGAAUGAAUAAUAUUUUAACAUUAACAGCUACCCAGUAUUGGACUCUGUUGUAUUCCUGGCACUGUGCUAAGGACUCCAUGUAUGUUCGUACUUAAUGCCCAGGCUUCUCAGCAGGUACUACCAAGGUCACUGUUAGCACAAACAGCACCUUGCUGUGAUUUAGAAAAUUCACAUCAGUCCUCUCUGGGAUGAUGAAUUAGAAAAAGUUGCCUCUUCUGUGACAAUGCAGCCCCGUAGUUGUGCGGCUUGGCGAAUGUAGCUGGGGCUGAAUUUCAGCCUCCACACACCUCGUUGGUUGCUUGCUGUGUGUAUGGCACAGACUACAUAAUGGUACGUGUUGACUAUGCUUACCGUUACUAACCUACUUUAGGCGGAAGAAACCUCCAAGGCUGGGAGAGGUUAAGUGGCGUGUGCAAGGCACAUACCCACUACUUGUAGCUAUGUAGGUUUGAGAGAGCAGCAUGACUCUCAUGACUUAUGAGACCCCAGUGACUGCAGGACCUCCUCCCUAAUCACAGUCUAGCACUUAGGAAGGCAUCACAGUUCAUGGGUGUCGUAGUGACAGCAUGGAACCAUUUUCUGAGUCCUGCCCCACUGUUGCCUCACACAGGGCGUCACAGAGGGAGCUGGCUGUGACGUUCCAGCAUCCCAGAGUCUCAAUGAUAAUGAUGGGGAUUAAUGGUGAUCCUGAUUUUUUCUCUAGCGCUUUACAGCUAAGUGUUAGUCUAUGAAUGUAAUAUAACAGUGGUUUAAAAUCAACAGAUUGUAACAAAAGUCCCUCACAGGAGACAAAGCUGGUGCCGUGAUCUAUAUUGCAUUAAUGAGACAAAUGAGGAUAGGAAACAUCAUGUGGCUUCCCAGGGCUCCAUGGCAGGGGCGUGGCAGGGGGGAUUUGAGUGCAGGAUCCUACUCCAGUGCUGACCUUUCCCAUCACUUUCCUGCUGCCCAGUGUGAGCUCUGUCCUGUCCAGGUCAGUCAGCUGCUGUUUCCUCCAUCCAGCCAGUGACACCCAAACCUCAUGGAGCAUCGGAAUUACCAGAAAAGCUUUUUAAAAUACAGGCUGUGUUUUAAAAUGUGUGAGUGUGUGGUGUGUGUGUGCUGCGGGGGUGUGGGGGGUGUAGGAGUGUGUGUGUAUUUAUUUCAUAACAACCUUUCCAGGUGUUAGUUUACCGCCUGCCUGGCGCUGUCCUUCCAUCAGUUAUUGGAAAUGGCUCUAAACUCUCAUGGCUAUUUCAGGCUCAUGGCUUAUGCCAUGGAAUGUUUUCCAGGUCAGAUACCUUUAUCUCUCUCUCUGCCUACCUAGAUCCUGCCCACUUUUAAAGAGCUGGCUCAAGCCCUUCAUGGUUUCCUUGCCAAUUCCAUUCUACUGAUGCCCACUCCCACCUCUUGAGGGUCUCUCCUUUUAUGUCUUGGGGGUGAGAGGGCAGGAGGACCGGCCCUGACAAGGGUCCACUGUGUGUCAGGCCCUGAUUAAGGGUUUUUCCGUAUGUCAUCCUUCCAUGACACUGAGGUCCCGAUCAUUACUUUAAAGAUGAGGUAAGUGAAGGAGCUUGGCCAAGUUCAGUGCAGGUAGUAAAGUGCAGACUGGGGUCUCAUCUGGCUUCAAGUUUCCCCCUUUUCCAUCCACUCUGCUGAGUAUUUCAAUCUGGUCCUUGUCUCACCAGCAAGAUUUCUUUUGUACUAGAAUAGAGAAACUUUGUCUUGCAAUAAAAAAGUCUUUCACCCUCUGCUGUAUAAUCCACAUAGUAAAAUAACCUAAUUGUUGAGGAAAUACAAGAAUGGAUGCCUUCUCUUACUUCUCUUGCAAAUCAGUGCCUAGCAAACUUCUAAAAGGUGAAUUGUUGAUAGAUUAUAUGAUAUUUUUUUCUUCAAGCUUUUUAAUAUGACAAGGGAAUUCCAGCCAGUAUUUUUACCUCUUCUUUCUUUUCAGAGUCAUGAAGUAUUAGAGCACAUGGAUGUCUUAUAGAUGAUCUUGUCCAAGUCAUUCAUUUUAGAAGAGCUGAUGGAACUUCAGAGAGGUUAAAUUCACCUGUCGCAGGUCACCUAUCUCCUUAGUGACAAGUUUGAGAUUACAGCCCAACUUCAAGUCACACUGACUCUUGUGAUUAUAAGUGAAAUCAUACUUGGCCACUCAUUCCUGAGCAAGAUGCCUGUUUCUGAAAUUAGUCUCUAGAGUGCCAACUUUUCAAGAGAAAAGAUGGUACCUUAUUUACCUUCAAGAGCAAAGCCUUUCCCAUGUUUCAUAAGUGUUUCUUGGCAGCCUAACUGACUCAGUGACUGAUUAAAGGAAAGACUGAAGGACAUGAAAGGCAUUGACUUGCUCCCUCCUAAAUAUUUCUUAAGGACCUACUAUGCUAAACACUCACAGCACUGAGGAUUCAGUGUUGAACACAACUGACAAAAUCAGCAGCCUUACUGAGCUUCUAUUCAAGUGGUGAAGACAAUAAUAAUUAUAUGUAAGUGUUGUAAUUAACAUAUUAUGAAGAAAAAACAAAAAAUGUAGAGAAGCUGGAGACUGAAAGGGGGUGCUAUUUGGGAUACAAUGAACAGAAAAGGUGUCUCAGGUGGUGUGGGCUGCUCUGACAGAAUAUCACAGACUGGUGGCUUAAACCGCAGAUGUAUUUCUCAGAGUUCUGGAGGCUGGAAGUCCGAGAUCAGGGUGCCAGCAUGGUUGGAUUCUAAAAAGGACCAUUUUGCAGUCUGCAGACAACCGUUUUCUGGUUGUAUCCCCACCUGGCAGAAAGAGAGUGAGAAAUCUCUCUGUGGUCCCUUUUAUAAGGUCACUAAUCCCAUUCACCAGAGCUCUCCUCUCAUGACCUAAUUACCUCCUAAAAGCCCCAUCUCCCAAUACCAUCAAAUUGGGGGUUGGGACUUCAACAUAUGAAAUUUGGGGGGACACAGACAUUCAGUUCGUUGCAAAAGAGCUCUCUGGAGAAGUGGUGUUGAAGCAGGGACAUUCAGAGAUCUGGGAGAAAGAAUGUUCUAGGCAGAAGGAAAAGGACGGGAAUGAGUCCUGAAGCAGGAGCCUGUGGAAGUGUCUGUGGAUAGGUGGGGAGGUGGGCAGGGCUGGAAUGCAGUGAGCUACAGGGAGAGGUUUAGGGAAUGGGGUCGACAGGUAGCCAGCUCCUCUGCAGCCUUAUGCCUGGGAGAGAGUCUGGAUAUGCUUUGUGGUAUGAUUUGCUGUGAGCAGUUCACCUGGUUUAUGAUGUAAAAUGUGGAAGGAAAAGACAAUACAGGCCAAGAGUGGAAGCAGUGAGACCUUUUACAGGCCUCCUUGAUUAUUCAAAUUUAGUUAAUGUCUCAAUUAUACAAAAAAUACUUAGUUGCUAAUUAUGUAAAGACCAUCACAUAAUUAAGAGGAAGGAGCAAAUAACCUCUAGCCCUUGGUUUUUUUAUGCAAAUGGGAGAAAUUAGCUACAUUCAUUCAUCCAUGAAAAACAUUUAUUGAGUGAACAUCAUGUGUCAGACACUCUGCUAUGCUCUGCGCUGAGAAAAAAGAUGAAAAAGACCCUAAUUUUAACUAACACUCAAGGAACUUAGGACAAGUAUGGUAGUAGAAGAAUGAAGAACAGACCAGGUGUGGUGGCACACACCUGUAAUCCCAGCACUUUGGGAGCCUGAGGCAGGUGGAUCACCUAAGGUCAGGAGUUCGAGACUAGCCUGACCAACAUGGCGAAACCUGUUCUCUACUAAAAAAAAAAAAAAAAAAAAAAUACAAAAUCAGCCAGGCAUGGUGGCGCAUGCCUGUAAUCCCAGCUACUUGGGAGGCUGAGGCAGGAGAAUCACUUGAAGCUGGGAGGCAGGGAUUGCAGUGAGCAGAGCUUGCACCAUUGCACUCCAGCCUGGACAACAAAGAGCAAAACCCCGCCUCAAAACAAAACAAAAUAAGAAAACGAGAAUGAAGAUGUAGGGAGAGAUCAGAGGGUGGAGUGGCUUGUCACAGAGGAGGUGUCUGAGUUGAGCCUUAAAGGAGAGAAAUUACGCUGGAAGGAGAAGGAAGUACAGAGCACAGGCAAAGAAACAGAUGCACGGAGCAGCAUGAGGAAUUAUUUGAUGUUGCUGGGACCUGAAGUGCAAGAAAAAGAACCAGUGAAGAGAAGACUAGCAAGGGGGGUCAGAGCCAGAUGAGGAGCUUGCAGACCUCAUCCUUUGUUGCUCUAUUGGAUAGUCUGCAAAUUAUUUUCUGACUCCAGGAUGACAAAAAUAUGUGAAUCCAUUUUCUUUUCUCUCUCAUGAGCAUCACAAGCCCCUGUUUAUUUUUAUAUCCAUUCUGUCUAAAUUACUUUGCUCUACAACUUUAUAGCAUAAUCAUGAGAGCCUCUUUUCUUGCAUGGAUGUUGCAAAGAGCAUGAAGUCCUCCAUGGCUUUUAAAGAAGGCUUUUGUUGAAUUAGCAGAACCUACCAGAGCUCCUGGAAAUUCCGGGUUUCCGGUCUCUGGGGGCGUCUUCACUCCAAGCCUCGGUGCCCUUACUUGGAUUUGCAAGUUUAGAGUUAAAGUAAGUGUCAGAAGUACGUGUGGUGAUUACAGACACUUUGUAGCCAAUAAUUUCCAUAGUGGAACUGAUAUCACUUCUUGACCUAUUUUUUCAGAGGACUUUUGCGCAAUAGUUACUUUAGAAGCACCCUCUUGAAAAGAAAUCUGAAAUGGACGUCAAAGGCUAUAUUUAUUUGUUCAUAGCAUUUCUUGAUGACCUGCUUUAUUCAAGAUUUCAAAGAGCUCACAGCUAUUAAUGACUACUUAAAACUCUUAAUAUCCAAAAUAUAUAAGGAACUCAUACAAAUCAAUACCAAAAAUACAAACAACUGGAUUAAAAAAUGGGCAAGGGACCAAAAUAGACACUUCUUAAAAAAGGAAAUUCAGAAUGCCAAUAAACAUGUGAAAAGGUGCUCCACAUCUGUAAUUAUCAGGUAAAUGCAGGUCAAAACCAUAAUGAGAUAUCACUUCAUACCUUUUAGGGUGACUAUUGUAAAAAAGAUAAAAGAUAGCAAAUGUCGGCAAAGAUGUGGAGAAAGUAGAACCCUUGUUCACUGUUGUUAGGAAUAUAACUUUAUACAACCAUUAUGGAAAAAGUAGGAAGGUUCCCCCAAAAUUCAAAAUGGAACAUAUGAUCAAGCAGUCCUACAGGAUUGUAAAGAGCUCUCUGCAUUCCCAUGUUCACUGCAGCAUUUUGCACGAUAGUCAACAUAUGGAAACAACCUAAAUGUCCUGCAGUGAACAGAUAAAGAAAAUGUGAUUUUGGCCAGGAGCGGUGGCUCACGCCUGUAAUCCCAGCACUUUGGGAGGCUGAUGGGGGCGGAUCACUUGAGGUUAGGAGUUCAAGACCAGCCUGGCCAAUAUGGUGAAACCGUGUCUCUACUAAAAAUACAAAAAUUAGCCAGGCAUGGUGGCAGGCACCUGUAAUCCCAACUACGCAGGAGGCUGAGGCAGGAGAAUCACUGGGACCCGGGAGGUGGAAGUUGCAGUGAGCCGAGAUUGCAUCAUUGCUCUACAGCCUGCGUGACAAAGCCAGAUUCUGUCUCAAAAAAAAAAAAAAGAAAGAAAGUGAUUUUAUACAAUCACACACACACACACACACACACACACACACACAAUGGAAUAUUAUUCAGGUUUAAAAAAGAAGAAAAUCCUGUCAUUUGUGACAACAUGGAUGAAGCUGGAGGAAGUUAUGCUAAGCAAAAUAGUAUGCAAGACACAGAAAGAGAAAUACUGCAUGAUCUCCCUUUUACGUAGAAUCUAAAAUAGUCAAACUAUAGAAGUAGAAAGUAGGAUGGUGGUUGCCUGGAGCGGGGAAGAGGGGAAAAUGGAGUGAUUUUGGUCAAAGGGUGCCAAAAUGGUAAUUAUAUACAGGGAAUAGAUAUGUUAAUUAGUUGGAAUGUGAUAGUCAUUUCACAAUGUAUAUGAAGACAUCCCGUUGUACACCUUAAAUAUAUACAAUUUUUUAUAUGUCAUAAAAACUAAAUUGUCACAAAGAAUUUAAAAGACAAAAAAAAAUCCUGUAAUUCCAUGACUUUAGUAUAUUUACAGAAUGAUUUUAGGGGUACGUAAUUUAAAAGGUUUCACAAAAUUUCAUUAAAAAUUUUUGAGUUAUUUGAUUAUGUAUAAGUUCAACCUCUCAUGGAAAGCUGAAUUUAUUUAACAUACUGACUAGAGGCAAGAAAAUAAGAAGCCAGAAGAAAAGUAUUAAUUCAUGGUGCAGAACUUGAGAAUAUGCAUUGAACAGCUGCACCGUAACACUUAGCCUUUUUGUUCACAUGAAGUUGCUCUCUGGAAUCCUCAGAUAGCUGCAGUUGCCUGAGGGCUCUUCAAAUGUCACCAGGGCAACAACAAAGUAACACACAUGAAGCAGGCCCUCUGUGGCAUUCUUCGUGAAAACCAUUGAAUUAAAUUAUUGCAUAACAAAUCAUCUGCAUAUGAAAGGCAGUGAACUGUUAGAGAACCCAGCUGAAAACAAUGCCGAAUUUGAUGCCUACCUCCACUGAUAACUCACUGGCACCCUUAGAACUCUUGUUGUGACUCAAGGGCCCCUAUUUGACAUGUGGGAAAUAUUAAUACUGUAUUUAUAAGACCACAAAGGAAUUAUGAGGUAAAUUAGAGAGAUAGUUGUGCUGCUUAGAGAAAAACUUCCAUGUAUCCCAUGACCCCAUCCCUCUUACCCUUUCUUGGUCAAUCUUUCAAAAAGAAAAAUGCAUUUCCUGCACUCUGGUUGAAAUGGUUGCUUGCCAUCAUGGAAAUUCUAGAAAAACCGACAAUAGUUAGCAGGGAUGGAGUCCUUGCUAUGUUUUAGCACAGAGACUGUGCUAAGCACUUCUCAUGCAUUAUUUUAUUUCAUUCUAGUGGCCCAUAGGGUUAGUACUAUUAACAUACCCAUUUUAUAAUGAGGACAUUUUGACUCUAAAAUGUUAGCUGAUUCUGGCCUGGGUUCUCAAAGCUAAAGAGAACUCUGAAGUAAACAUUAAGAACCACAUGAUCUGUUUCCAGAGUCCUCAAACCUCUGAACAUAUUGGUUUAGAAUAAACUACUUCAUAUCACAGCCUCUAUCACCAUUAUACCUGGAUCCUGCUUAAUCUAGAAGCCAUAGAUGGAAAUUGUUAUCGUUGGAAAAACAAUUUUCACACUCAAGUAUAUUAAUUCAAGAACCCUAUGGAGAGACAGUAUAUGAAAAACAAAUGUCAUACGAUGUUUUAGGUAUGAUUAAGCCAAAAUAAGACAGACUUUAAAAAUAUACAUAGACUGAAAUAUUUACAUUCAAAUGAUAUUAGUGGCCUGCCACCUUAUCUCAGCAACACUUGAAGCUCUUCUUGGGAAUUGUCAACUUUUGAACUGCACAAGAAAACAAGUCUCUUCUUUGUUCAGGUUUCAGUUUUGGAUUCCUGAAGAUCAAUCACCUUCUUUUCAUCAGGUUUGACCAUGAAAAACUUAACUAUUUUAAAGAGCAAAUCCAUUUUCAAAGUGCAUAAAUGUAGCACCUUUACCAUGUAUUUGAAAGGACAAAUUUCACCCUCUUUUUAAAUUAUACUUACUUACAAUUAUAAAAAAUAAUAUUGAUUAUAAAAAUCACCAAAGGGACCAGCACAAUGGCUCAUGCCUGUAAUCCCAGUGCUAUCAGAGGCUGAACCCAGAGGAUCCCUUGAGGCCAGGAGUUCAAGACCAACCUGGGCAACAUAGCAAGACCCCAUCUCUACAAAAAAUUUAAUAAAUUAGCCAGGUGUUGUGGCCCAUGCCUGUAGUCCCAGCUACUUGGGAAGCUGAGGUGGAAGGAUUGCUUGACCCCAGGAGUUUGAGGCUGCAGUGAGCUAUGAUUGUGCCACUGCACUCCAGCCUGGGUGACAGUGAGUCCCUGUCUCUAAAAAUUAAAAAAAAAAAAGUAAAUAUAAAUGCAAAAUAAAAAUUACCAAAUAUAAUAAUCACAUACGUCUAAAGUGUACUCAAAAUAGCAUUUGGAAAAUAUUUCAAGCUGGCCAGCAUUUAAAAAAUGAAUAUCGUCUCUCAAGAGAACUUAUUUAAUGGAGACAGAAGAUAUGUAGGUAUUACAUGUAUAUUUUAAAUGGUAACAUUGGUUUAUCAUCACAUUUCUAGUGUGGUAUUCUAAGAUUGAAGCACUAAUUGUGGAUAAAUGUACAACUAUUUCUUAGGUGUACCAUUUUUUUCAAGGGAAAUUAAAAUACAGCUUUUUGAGUGCUAACCAUGUGCCAGGCACACUUGUGAUUGAAAUUAAUACAUAAAACAGUCCUAGAAGGUCAGAAUUAUGCUCAGUUUUCAUAGCAUACAACCACAGUUCACGCAGGCUUAGGAACUUGAACAAAGUCACGUGGCUCAGGCAUGUGACCGUGAAGUGUCCAAGAUGGAAGAACAGCAUGGUUUUUGCUGCUUAAAGGGGGAUAAACAUCUACAGCAAAUUAUAAGAGCACCACUUGAGUGUGAAUGGAUUACUAGAACUGAGGUGAGAUAUAUUCUUAACCUAAUACAUAAGAUAACCUAUGUGAAAGCAUUAGAAGCAGUCAUUUUAUUAAUUCCCAAGUUUUAAUACAAAAGAAUCACUUUGAGGUGUUUUUCAGUAACAUAAUUUGGGGUCCACCUGUCAGAAAAUCAGAUUGAACAGAUGGGGGUUCAGGAACCUGCAUUUUUAAGAACCAUUUCAGGGAAUUGUGAGGCUGUUGAUGUGUGAACCCCACUUUGAAAACACCAUGAUAUCACUCAGCAGAUGCUCUGAAUACAGUUUCCUUUUUCCCCCCUUAAUGUCGGAGUACAGGAAGAAACCAAAGACAAUAGUUUAAAACAGGGAACUUAGUACAUAGGGUAUUGUGUUUGGUUUACAUUACUUUAUUGACGUACACUAAAAGAAAAUUUCAUUUCAAAUUUAGCUUCUUACCUUAAUGGCCUCUUUGUAAAACUCUAGUGUACAAAAGUGGUGUUUAACUAAGUGAAAACAGCUCUGGCAGAAAUCUCUGGCUGAUAAAUCUCUUUAGGGCUUUCCUAGCAUAGGGAGUGGGUGAGGAAGGCCAGGUGGGGAAGAGGGGAUUUCCUGUUUAUUUGUGCUACCUAUUUAAAAUGAUUCUCUACAUCCUGUGAUUUUUACAGUUGUUCUGAAAGGAAGCGCUGAUUUUUAACUCCACUGAAGUGCACUGCUUGUGUUUCUGGAGGAGAGAGAGAGGGAGAUGGGGAUAAAUCACCUCUGCACGUUUCACCGGUUGAUGCAUUACAUAUUCUUUCAGCUUCACUUUUCUGCUCUUUUUUUUUUUUUUUGAAACGGAGUCUCGCUCUGUCGCCCAGGCUGGAGUGCAGUGGCGCUAUCUCGGCUCACUGCAAGCUCCGCCUCCCAGGUUCACGCCAUUCUCCUGCCUCAGUCUCCCAAGUAGCUGGGACUACAGGCGCCAGCCACCAUGCCUGGCUAAUUUUUUGUAGAGACGGGGUUUCACCGUGUUAGCCAGGAUGGUCUCGAUCUCCUGACCUCGUGAUCCGUCCGCCUCGGCCUCCCAAAGUGCUGGGAUUACAGGCGUGAGCCACCGCGCCCGGCCACUUUUCUGCUUCUUAGUAACAGAGACAAUGUUGGGCUUCACAGGACUCAAGAUGACUUUCUAAGGUGAUUUGGGGAUGCAGUGUAUGCAUUUUUUUACUCUUUUUUAAAAAAAUCUUUUCUUCGCCUUUGGAGUGUAACAUUUGGAUAGUUUUAUUCAGCCCAUAAUAGGACCAAGGGAAGGGGAUAAAAAAAAAUUCUUUAAAGUACCUCAGAUAAAAAGGUUUUGUGAAGAAAAGGACUCAAAAUCCUAGGUUAUACCAAGACUUUAUGUUCAUUUUGAAUUUUCUUUAUUCAUUUUUUUCUUCUCUGUGUAUAGAAUAAUCAGGAGAUAUUGGUGGGCAGAACUGUUGGUUGAUAACAGGAAGCAGAGUAUCUGAGAAAGGCCCUCAUCCUGUUUCCUUUUGGAGCUACUGAGGCCUCACAUACCAGCCAUUUUAGGAUUUGAUGAAGGCUAGAGAAGAGUUAAACUGAGCCUUCACUUACUCAGCAUCAGUAGGAAGUAGUGUUGGCUACACUAAAAACACCGUUGUGCCAGUGAGGUUUUGGGGGGAAAAUGACAAGCUGCCUGUGAUAAACAAGCAAACUGUGACAAACUUUUUGAUGUGUAGGUUCUGAAGCUUUUCGGUUUACGUCCUCAAAAGAUUAUAUAUAUAUAUAUAUAUAUAUAUAUAUAUAUAUAUAUAUAUAUGCACACAUGCACAAUAUAGCAUAUAUACUUUUGAUAUACAUGAAAGAGAAAAGAUGAGUGGCAGUAAAAUAGAGAUUCCAGGAUUUGUAAACACAGGGCAAUAGAAAUGACAUUUCCGGUACAGUCUGGAGGAGCAGCACCCAUUUUCAGAAAGGAAGGUAUUAGGGAUAAACUUGACAAGGAUGUGGAAGACCAACAUAUCACAAUCAAUCUGCAGGCAUUUGUUGCGGCCUUCCAUGUACUCAGAAAACACAUGCAGUCUUUUUAUAGAUGAUGGAAGUAGUUUUCUUGAUUUGGGAUAAUCUAAAUAUUAUAGUCCUUCAAAAACAUACAAAUUCUAAAAAUUGAAGAUAACAUCUCUUCAUUAACAUUGAGUGAAAAACAGAAAGCAAUGAAGUCCAUGGGGGGGGAUAUAAAAGACAUGAAACACUAAACACCCCUUACCCUGAAUAAUUUACAUGAGUAUUUUCAAAUUGUUUUUUAAAAUAGAAAAGCAGUGAUAACUACCUUGACUUUGAAGCUCAAACUCUAAUUUUCUAUUUGACAUCAGCUGUUGGUUUUGUGUUUGAUAGAGUUGGGUCAUAAAGAUACAUGAUUACAAAAUCCAUUUAGAACUUUUAAUUCUGGAUAAAAUAAUCCAGUUUCUAAGUUCAGUAUCAGCCCUCACUCCUGGCAUAAGGAGCUUUUGUUAUGUAGGACUUGAGGAAUGCCCCAGCUGGGGAAAUGCCAGUUAAUAGAUUCAGACAGAUGGAUUUUGAUGAGAGUCUGCACCGUUCACACCCCUUAGCAAAUGUUUUCGAAUAUUCUCAAGUAACACACUUAACUUGAAAACAAAUAUGGAUUUGCUUACUUUAGAGUCAAUAGUAAUUAUUAUUAUGAGUAGUGCAUAAAAAUAUCUGCUCUGUUUUUGCAUCUUAGAGUGCUAAAUUUAUAUGUCACAUUAUAACUUUAGACCUUUUACUGCCUUCUACAUACAGAGAAAACAUACUUUGAAUUUAAAACCAGGCUUUGGCAGAGAAUUAUUUCAGCUGUUGCAGAAUAUUGCAUUUUUUUUCUUAACCUCUCCCUGCCCAAAGUCAGAGUGAUAAUCAGCUGUGGAAAUAGCCUUAUGAAAUCCCCAAGAGGAAUGCAAGAUCCUGACGGUGUGUUUCGUGUUUUUGUUUCCCUCAGUAGAGACUGUGAAACCAGACCAAAAGGGAAUAACACCAGAAUAGAAAUUAGACUGGACCAAGGAGCAAGAUGGCAUUUCUUACCUGAGCCAUUUUGUGGAGCUCAGUGGUCUUUUAAGAGCAUGAUGCAUAUUUCUGGCUAUGUUUUCUGCCAGAAUCCAUUUUCUUCUGGCAUUAAGUUAAUUGAAGGCCAGAGAAUCAAGUUUAAAGUAUAGGAAAAUGGGAAAGCAGAAGAUCAGAGACAGUGCUUUGUUUGAGGUAGUAAAAUGAGAAGCUAAGUACCAUGUAUGUACCGUUACAUUGAGUGUCUUUUUUGGGCAAGUCACUUUGCUGGGUGCUGGGAAUUCAGCUGAAAAACAACUCUCAUAAAACUUGCCUGCCGUCUACGGGGUAGAUCACACUUACGUGACAAAUUGCCCAUGUAAUUAUUUAAUUACAGUUGUGGGAAGGGCUCAGUGGGAGAAGGGUGCCAUCAGAGUAUAGCAGGGAGGCUAACAGCAUCUGUAGGUUAGAGAAUGCUUCCUUGAGGAAUAGCGUUUGAGCUGAGUUCUGGAGGGUAGUGUAAAUUCCAUAGGAGAAAGGGUUAGGAAGGGCGUACAAGGCAGUGGGAACAGCAUAUGCAAAGGCUCAGAAUCAGGCAAGCACUUGGACUAGAGCAGGGAUUGGAGGCACCUAAUAUGGCUGGAGCUCAGAGAAUCAGUGGGAGCCAGGCUGGCAGGCACUGUUAACACAGUGUGGCACAACCCUGGUAGGGGCCUCGUCACAUUACAACCUGUGCUGCCCAGCAUGGUGGCUCUGGUUGUUGCUACUCAUUUUCUGGCCGGAGGAAAAAAUAUUGAGAUUUCAAAUUUCUUCUCUUAUUCUAUUACGGUUCUUACCUGUGUCUCUAUCUCCAUGUUUAGAUGUCUAUAAAAAAGAAAAAAGAGUGUUUUUAAAAAUUUCUCCCAAGAAAAUUAUACUACUGCUUGUUCAUAAUGCCCUGCCAAUUUUAAUUAAUUCAACAUCCACAGGGACAUUGUUUAGGUUGUGUAUCUUUCAAAAACUGGACUAUUAGUUUAAAUUAGUAGAAAGGAGAACUAGAUUGCAUGAUUGUAGCAAAUAUCGACUUAGGUUUUUAAAGAUAGCAGUCUCUUCUUUUUAACUUCUGAAGUCCUGGCUUAUCAAGAGAAAAAUAAAUUUUUGCUGUGUACCAAAAUAGAAUGCUUUCCAGAUCCUAUUUCUGAAUAGCUGAAUAAUGCGUCUGCAGCUUUUUACGUCACUGCGCGUGCAACAGCUGUUAGGUCAUUCCUGCAACUCCAGCAUUUGUUCAUAUUUUCAGAUGUUCAACAUUUUUAUGAGCAGAUGUAAGAUUUUAAGUUUCAUUUGGAGAAAACAUGCCUUUCCUACUUGCAAAAUAUAAUUUCUGCUUCAUUUGUUAGGAAAUGAAAAUAUCAGAUACAUUUUUUAAUGUACUUAUGCUGGAUUUAACUUCUCAGCUAAACUGCGUGGAGAACGGUACAAACGACAGUGAAAACAGAGAGCUCCUUGAGCCUGUAGGACAAGAUUUACUGAUUGCAUUGUUUGGAAGGCUCAUGUUACUAAGACUUUGGGCUGUUUAUUUGUACAUCGUGUACAUUCUGAGGACAUCCAAGCCAUUCUUGUUGAUUGUCAUCAUCAGAUUUGAAAAGUUAUAUAACUGAAGGUAUUAGACACAAGGGUGAGUAGUUGCUGUAUAUAACAUUGGUAAAUGAAAUCGAUUUGGAAAUGAGCUAUAAUACUUGUUAGCAGUUACAUAUAUGCGAAUCUCAACACUGUGAUUAAUGAGCUGUGAAUUGAUAGUAUCUGCUGAACACUACUUUAUUCAGAACAUUGUUUUACUCACAAGUCAUAGCAGAAGAAUUCAAAAAAAUUAGAGGAUGCAGACUUUUCUUUGUAUUAGAUAGUAGUUUAGCCUGAUGCACAAAUUAUGCAUUCUUGAUAACACUGAAAAAGUAACAAAAUUUUCCAAAAAUUACGCAUGAAUGCUCUGCAAACUGAGUGUGUAAGUGCUGAAAGAAUAGAGAAGAAAAACUCCUGUGAGCAAGGAUCACUUAUGGAACUCUUCUCAGAGGAGAUGAAUUUGGGCUUGGGUGGAGAGAGAAAUAAGCAAUGUGGACUGAUGUUCAGCAAUAAGAUCCAGAGAGCAGGAAAGCCCCGUUCUUUGAUGCUACCACCUCCUAGCUCUGUGGCUUUAGGCAAGAUACUUCACCACUCGACCUCAGUUUUCUCAUCUAUAAAAUGGAGCUAAUAAUCAUUUUUGAAUGAGUAUUAAAUAAGAUAAUAUAUGUAAGAGAACAAUGAUGGCACAGAGUCAGUGCUUAAAGUGUUGGCUUUUAUUAUUUAUUGUCUUUUUUUUUUCCCUGAGACGGAGUCUCUCUCUGUUGCUCUGGCUGGAGUGCAGUGGCAUGAUCUCAGCUGACUGCAACCUCCGUCUCCCAGAUUCAAGCGAUUCUCGUGCCUCAGCCUUCUGAGUAGCUGGGAUUACAAACACCUGCCACCAUGUCCGGCUGAUUUUUGUAUUUUUAGUAGAGACGGGGUUUCACCAUGUUGGUCAGGCAGGUCUCAAACUCGUGACCUCAGGUGAUCCACUGGCCUUGGCCUCCUAAAGUGCUGGGGUUACCUCAGGUAAGCCACCACACCUGGCCUAUUUAUUAUUAUUAUUCAUUAAUAGAAAUUACAGAAAUCAGGGUUACUAGGUGGAGGGAAUGCUGUCUACAAAAGAACAAAGGGGGCGACAAAUCUGUCUCAGAAAUAUUCAGUCAGUUUUAAGCGAUAAUAAUGUUAUUUCUAGCAAAUACAGUACAUUCAAUGUUAUUUUAAACAUACAAUAUUGAAUGAUCUCCAUAAAGUUGACUGUGUGACUUAUAAUAGUCUCUGAAAUCUAGAAAUUAUUAAUAUACAUCCAGAACUCAUGGCUAACCUUCAAUGAUAUGUUUAUAGUGAAAGAACGAGCUUGUGUUCACUUGCAUAGAGGGAGGGUAUGACAAGUUCUACUGAAAAUGUGUCAGUAUAGUUUUCCAUUUAGAAUGGUACACAUGGGAAGUUGAUUUUGUUUGUUUUCUAGAGAUGGGGUCUCCCUGUGUUGCCCAAGCUGGUCUCAGAUUCCUGGCCUCAAGCAGUCCUCCCCUCUUCAGUAUCCAGUGUAGCUGGGAGUACCAGUGCAAGACACCAUACCUGGCCAAUCUUUUUUUAUUCAUUUAAAAAAUAUCUGUGGGUAGAAAUAUGAUUUAGAGAAAUAUACAUAAAGUAUAUAAUCUAAGUAUAUUUUGAAAAAUUGCAGGUUCUGAAAAAAUCAUCUGAGUACACCUGACAGGAGGACUGAAAACAUAGGGGUCAUCUUCAGAAGAAUUUCAAAUGCCAUUUUCCAUGCUAGUUAGCUAGCUAGCUAAUCCCUCCACAUAAUACAUACUACAUAGCUAAUCCUAUCAAAUUUCCAAACCAUUUUCUUGUGCUAGUUAGCUAAUCCCUCCACAUACUACUCCUAGAGACCCUGCAAUGCCUUGAUGUCAGCACAGUCCCCUGGAAUCCUGGAGUGUGGUCUCUGGGAAGGAAGAAAAGGGCCCUAGAGUUUGAGCUGGACAGCCCUCAGCUCCUGGCUCAAGUCACUCAAUAGUUCCAACUCUGUAUUCUCCUGUUAAAUAGCUACCUUUAGACUUUCUGUAAGAAGCAGGAGAAAUAACAUUUGCAAAAGUGACAAAACACAUCUCUAUCUGCAAUCUAGACAUUCAUUCUAGCAGUAGCCAAAGGCUGUGAUCACCUUUGCUUUGUUUUCAUCCUUUAUGAGUGUACUCUAUAAUUAGUGCUUUUAACACACAAACUCACUUAACAUUUACAACAGUAGGCAAUCCUAUUAUCCAAUUUUACAGAGGAGGAUGUUGAGAUGGAGUGAGGUGAAAUAACUUGUCUAAGAGCGGGCAUUUAGCAAGCAGCCAAGCAGGGCUUUGAACUUGGAUGGUAUGGUUCCGUAUCAUGCUAUAGAGCCUCAUCUAUAUCCAAAAUACAGCAAGGAGUACACAAGUAUGCAUCUGGUUCCUUUUAGGGUUUUAUCCAAGUUUUAAGUUUUUGUCCAGGCUUAUAAAUAUUGAGCUAUGAAACUAAAGGUGCCUUAGAGAUAAUCUAUGAGUCCAACCCCUUAUUUUGCCAAGACCUCACUAAGGACUGGACAGGAUAAAUGAUAGACCCACACCAAGACAGAGAUCUUGGUAACAGGGAUGUGGCAGGUCUCCUGAUUCAGUGCUUGUCCCAUUCCACUGUGUAACUUCUCUAGCUUUACAGGAGAUAAUUUAACUUAUUGUUAAAAUCACGUUCAUUUUAAAAUAAAUUUUUAGAUAAAAUUCACAUAAAAUUCACCCUUAUAAAAUGCACACUUCAGUGGUUUUUAGUAUGUUCGCAAAUUUGUGCAACCAUCAUCACUAUUUAAUUCCAGAACAUUUUUAUCACCGCAGAAAGCAACCCAUGCCUAUUUGCAAUUACGCUCUAUUUCCCCUCCCUCCAACAGUUAGCAACUUUCUGUCUCUGUGAAUUCAUCUCUUCUGCACAUUUCAUAUACAUAGAAUCAUAAAAUAGGUGGCCUUUGGUGUCUGGCAUCUUUCACUUAGCAUGUUUUCAAGGUCCAUCCAUAUUGUAACAUGCAUCAGUACUUCAUUCCUUUUUAUUACUGAAUAAUAUUCCAUUGUAUGGAUAUGCUACAUUUUGUUUAUCUGUUUAUCAGUAGAUGGACAUUUGGGUUGUCUUCACAUUUUAGCUACGAUGAAUAAUGCUGUGAGCAUUCACAUACAAUUUUUCUAUAAACAAAUGUUUUUAAUUUUCUUGGGUAUAGAUCUGUGAGUGGAAUUGCUUGGUCAUUGGUAACUCUGUGUCUAACUUCUUGAGGAACUGCCAAAUGGUUUUCCAAAGUGGUUGCACCAUUUUACAUUCCUGCCAGCCACAGGUUCAAAUUUUUCUACUCCUAAUCAACACUUGUUAUUGUCCAACUUUUUUAUUGUAAUUAUCCUAGUCAUUGUGAAAUGGUAUCUCUUCGUGGUUUUGACAUGCAUACUCUUAAUGACUAAUGAUAUUGAGCAUCUUUUCAUGUGCAUUUGUAUAUCUUCUUUGGGAAGAUGUAUAUUCAAAUCUCUGACCAGUCUUAUUUUUUUGUCUUUUUAUCAUUGAUUUGUAAGAGUUCUUUUUAUUUCUGGAUACUAGACUCUUAUCAGAUACAUGAUUUGCAAGUAUUUUUUCCCAUUCUGUGGGUUGUCUCUUCAGUUUCUUGGCAGUGUUCUUUAAAGUUCAAGUUUUUAAUUUUAAUGAAUUCCAAUUAAUCUAUUUUUCUUUGAUUGCUUAUUGCUUUACAUGUCAUUUCUAAAAAAUGACAUCUAAUCCAAGGUCAUGAAUGUUUUCUUCUAAGAGUUUUAUAGCUUUAACUCUUACACUUAGGGCUUUGAUUCAUUUUGAGUUUAUUUGUGUAUAUGCUAUAAGGUAGGGGUUUAACUUCAUUCUUUUGCAUGUGGAUAUCUAAUUGCCCCAAAACCGUUUGCUGAAAAGACUGUUCUUUCUUCACUGAAUUUUCUUGGUAUCCUGUUGACACAUUCACUCUUAUAUUAAAAUAAAUACCUAUUCUCUGUGAGUCAGAAUGAGUGAGUCAAUUGUAAGUUUGUUGUAUUGCUUUUAAAACUGAGUAGAUCAUAAAAAUGUCUCUGUUGUUUCAUCUAUAAACUGAGGGUGAUACUACUUUUUGGUAGCAUAAUUUAAGGUGUAAAAUAUCUUGCUGAAGGCAGAGGGCUAGAUCAUAUUACCUCCCAACAGAUUGGACACUAGCCUUAAUUGUAAACCUCAAUUGAUGCCAAUGUGGUUGAAAGACUUUUGAGUCUGACCAACGUAGAUCCAAAUCUUGACUCCAUUACUUACUAACUGCAUGACCUUGAGCAAGUUAGUUCUUUACUUGGGAAUUGGUUUAUUGUGAGGAUUGAGUAGGAUAAUGUAUAAAAAUAUUUGACAAAAUUACUGAGAUUUAUUCAUUCAUUUAUUCAUCCAUCCGUCCAUCCAUUCAUUCUGGAAAAACUUACUGAGUGCUUUAAAAAGCUAAAAUAAAUUGAAUAGACAAAGUCCCUGCUCUUAUAGAGUUUACUUUGUCCUGGGGACACAGAUAAUAAGCAAAUAAGUCAAUAAAUAUAUAACAUAGUAUCAAGUACAGAUAAGUAUAUGAGAAGAAAAAUCAAGCUGAUUUUACAAAAUAGAAAGUGAGUGUAGGGUUCUUAUAGAUAAGAUAUUGAGGAAGACUUCUCAAGGAUGGUGAUAUUUGAGGAGAGACCUAAUUGAAAGGAGGUAAUUGGCCUCUUAGAUCAGGGGGAUGAGUGUUCCAGACAAAGAGAAAGUGGAGAAUUGACAGUAGAGGGCAAGAAUGAAAGCAGGGCUGUUGCAGUAGUCAGUAGGUGAGAGAAUAGUGCUUGAAACAGGAAGUAAUGAGACAUGGUGUGAUUGGAGUGCAUUUGAAGGGAAGACCAUCAGGUGUUGAUUGUAGGAUGCUUCAUUGUUGGAUGACUCUUAAAGAUUUAGUUUAAGAAACUGGCUGAAUGAAGAUGCUAUUAAAUGAGUUGGAGAAGCCUGGCGAAGAGCAUGUUGGGUUGGAUGGGCACAGAGUUCUCUUUGGGACAUAUUAGAGAUUCAGUUGGAGAUCACAAGCCACUACAAUACAAGUCUGGAGUUCAGAUGAGAGAUGGGAUUUUUAGAAUGAUCAGGAUAUAUUUAGUGUUUAAAGUCAGGAAUGUAUGAGGUCACCCAGUAAAUGAGUGUAUACAGAGAAGAGAGGAGGACAAGGAAUGAGCCCUGAGGCACCACCACCUCAGAGGUCAGCAAGGGAAGAAUGUCUCUAAGGAGACUGAGGUGGCAGGAAAAUCAGGAAAGCCUGAUAUCCCAGAAGACAACUGAAGACAAAAUUUCAGGAAGGAGAGACUGAUCACAAGUGUCAAAAAACUUCUGGGAGGUCGAGAAAGAAGAUGGCCAAGAAAUUAUCAUGAAUUUGUCAAGACAGAUGUCACUGGCACCCCUGAUGAAUGUGGUUGCACAGGAGUGGUGGGGACAAACGCCUGAUGAAGGGGGUUCAGGAUAGAGAGGGAGAUGAAGAAAUGAAUGCAGUGGGUAAGUCCUAGCAAGGUGCUGUAGUACAUGCUCAAGAAAUAUUAUUAAAGCAUAUAAUUGGAGAUCGAAUUCAGAGGCAGCACAAUAGCUUGGAAAGAGCACAAGCUUUGAGUUCAGCUCCUAGCAAUAUCACCUACUUGCUGUGUGACAGCAGGCAAAUCACUUCCUGAGUCUCUGGGCCUUAUUUUCCCACAUUUAUAAAAAUUAUAGCAAUUAUAAUACCAAUCACACAACAUUGCCAUGAAGAUUAUAGAUAACAAAUAACCUAUCCUGGGACAGCUUCUGGCAUGUGAUAGUCACACUACAAAGUGGAAAUCUUAUAUUACUAAAUUUAUUUAUUUACUAAUCAGAACCAAGAUUGCUUAUUUCUACAUUGCUUAUUAUAGAUGAAUCCAUAGGCUUUGUAACCAGAUGACUGGGAACACUUCACAAAACAGGAGGAGUCAUUUCUGUGUUUUGAAGGCUGAAUGGAAGUUUUUUUUGGUAAAGAAGAAGUGAAGGCAUAUUUCUGAUAGAGGAAACCACAUGUGAGAGAUAACAGGUGUGUCAGAAGGCUGCCUGAAGAGAAUUAGAGAAGAUUAGGUUGGAGAGGAAGGCAGAAGGUAGAGUCUGAAGACCCUUAUAAACCAUGCUAAAGUAAAUGUGAUCUUUAUGUAAUCGUUAAAAGAUAAAUUGUACAUCACGACAGUGAUUUCCAUUUUAUUAUCAGAGCUCAAUGCUUCCAUAGAUCUGAGUUUUAGAGUUUACCAGCUAGAAGAACCACUUGGUAAGUAGAAUGCAUGACAAAACAGUAACCCCUGUGCGCACCUUAAAGGUAAAUUUACAACAUUUUGGGAGCAUCAACCACUGCUCCCAAAAUGCUGGUUCCUGGAUAGCAAUCAGAUAAAACUGAUGAUUACAUAUGAAAAAAAUGUUGUGUAGGAUUUCCAACUGACAUUUUUGUUUAUUAUGAGAUUUUUACCUUUUUACUUUUUGAUGUUUAAAAUGUCAUUUAUUUUAAUGAAAUGGUGAUGAUGUUGAAUGCUUUGACCUAGCAAAAUUAAAAGGUAGUUAAACUCUAGUGUUACUCUUGAACUUUCUUUUGAAAUUAUUCUCAUCUGUAAAAUCCUAAAGUCUGGGAUCUUCUGUCUUAAGGUACAUGAAACCUGAUGUCUGUAAAUAUUGGUUCACUCAAUUAAGAAGGCAUCACAAAGAGUUUCUAUUUACCAUUGCUGUCCGUGGAUGCUAACUCUGCCAAUUAAGGGUCUUAAGGGUCUUCUCACUCUGGGGGCAGCCAUUCAAAUGUCCCUAAAGAAAGUUUCUAUAUAUGCACAAAAAUGUGAGGUCUGGUAUAUGCAAAUAAAUUCACAGCUGUGCUCUUUAAUUUUGAAUCCCAACCUCUAUUGAAAGAGACUGACCAGAUGCUCAGAUCAGAGCAUACUGAAUAUUCCUGCUAAUCUUUCUCUCUUCAGUGGAAGGAUUUGAUGAAUUUGAUGAAGUGGAAAAGUGAGAUUUUGCCAGGAGCUUUCAUGUGCUAAAUCAAAUUUCUAUAGUUUUACUUCACAUUUAUGCUACAAAGACAGGUAUCUGAGGGGAACUGUGUUUUAAUGAGAGUAAGCUCAUUUUAGUUUACGUUACUGAAGAUGAGCAUCUGUCUGUUCCUUGACAAAGUAUUUUGCAAAGUGUUUUCUGUUAUUUCUCUCCAAGGAUGUUACAGAGGACACACAUCAUCCAGAUCUUAUGUACAUUAUAACUUCCAAUGAAAAAGUGCACUCUUCCUAACUUUUUUUUUAAAAAAGUGUUUGUGUGUCAUUUGUUUUGGCUUUGUCUCAUUCUAUAACCUAAAUAAUUCUUAGUCAACCACAUGUACUCUCCAUAGAUUAUAUUAGCAGGUACAGAGAUUAUAAAAUACAUCACUUCCAGUCUUAAGAACUUGAUUGCUCAUUAUUAAAUAGGUGGAAUAAAGCACCAAUGCAAGCUAGUACUGGGGAAGGAACCCAGCUGUGGUGUUCUAACAGACAUGGGUUUGAAUUCUGGCUCUACUGCUUAGUUUUCUGGUCAUUUCUUUGUCUGUAGCAUAGGGAUAAUAACACUGAUCUCAUUAGGUGCUCGGUUGUAUUAUUGGUUGUUAUAAGAAUUAAAUGAGACAUUGGUUUCAUUCACUUAUCAAAUAUUUAUGAAAUGUCUGCUAUAUGUAUAAAAAAUACUUAACAAAGAGCCUAGAAUAUGGUAUUUAAUCGCAGUUGCAAUUAUUUUGGCUUUUCUUCCAUGUCUUGAUUCACAUAACUGGCCUUCUGCUAUAAUCCCUUAUGCCAAAGUCCUUAUCUUGAUAACACAUCUAAGCAUUUCGUCAUUGCCCAUGACAUUCCUACCACCGUGGCUGUAGUCCUGCUCCAAAUCACUAUUGGUGCCCAGGAGUAACUGUUGACUCUUGCCUGCUUUGUCUGUUGCCCUUGAGUUAGCCAUCACUGGGUUUUGCCCACUAUGGAGUUUCUCUGAUGCCACUAUCUCUGCUGGACUUUGGGUACCUAUCCAGUACUUAUCCCUCAGCUUGGGCUUGGCCUGACAGCUACCAUAAUUAGAUUUGCUCUCAUCUCAUUCCUUGGAGAGGGGUCUCUCUCCAGGUGCCAGCCCUUACCGGUAUUCCUCCUAAUGUCACAGUUAACUAUGCCACAUCUAACUCUAAGGAUUCAGGCACUGAUGGCAGGGUUGACUUACUGAUGGCAGUUACAGAUGGCAUGUGACCACAGCCAUGUGUGUGAUGGAGAUACAUGGAAAAGGAUGAAAGUGCCUAACUAUCAUAUCAAAGAUAUAAUUAUAGAAAAGAUGGAGAUUAGCCCAAAGAAGGUCAGAGAGUAUUUUAAGGGGGUGCAACAUGGUAUCUGUAAAUGCUUGGGAAAAGACGAUGAUGAGUUGUUUUGCUAGGCAAAAGUAAGAGGUUUCAAAAAAGGUCAGGUAGCUAUGAAGUCAGUCAGCUAAGGAGAGUUUAAUGAUUGCCCUAGAGUAAGAGGACUUGGAUUAGAGUAUUGGCUCUGCUAUUUAUUAUCAUUAUGAUCUUGGUCAUUUCUAGUCUGUCAACAUCAGUUGUAUUACUCAUUUAACAAAGUGAAGGAGUGGAAUUGUGCUACAUGCAGCUGAAAAACAUCAGCUUGGGGUUCUGUGGGAGCCAACAAAUUAGAGAAAGGUGGAGUUGGGACAAGUGGAUUGUGGAAUGCUCUCCAGAAAAGAGGAUUCUCAAGAGAAUGUUUAAAUCUAGGUAGAAAUUCACCAGAGAAUGGAGAAAAGGGAAGAUGCUCUGGCAAGGGUCAGCAUCAUAUGCGAACUUUCAGGCAUGAAAGAUUAGCAAGUUGGAAGAGAAAGAAUUAGGACCAUGGAUGCCAAAUCAGGGUGCCUGAAGGACAUACAAAUGGAAAUAUUCAAUGGGAUUGGUGGCUUCUGCUUAUUGAGUUCCUGUUAAUUUUUAAUUAAUAAAGCAAGCAUUUAUUAAUGCUACAUUGUAAUAAAAUUUCCCCUUGGAUAACACAUUUUUUUCAUUCCAAAUAUCCUGUUUACUAAAAGCAGAUAUCUACAGCAAUGCACUCAUGAUAAAUUUUAAAAAAUUCCCAUCAGUAAUACUUUAAAUAAUGUUUACUUUUACUGGAUGCUUAUACAAUUUCUAUUUGGGUGUGUCCCCAACAAUCUACAAUCUUUCAUAUCCAACAGCAAAAUUGGCCAUUUUCUGAAGAGAUUAAAAGCCAAUUAUGGGCUUGGAUUCAGAACUUCAGUUCCACUAAAUAGGAUCCAAAUGUUUUGGAACUCAUCACAGUUGGCUUAGAAUUGUUAUCACCUAGGAACAAUGUUAUUACUUAGGAAAAGAGUUCAAGUAGAACCCUGGUAAAUCUGGCUCAACAAAUGGACCGUGCUUUAUGGAAUUUUUGUUGUUUAUUAUUACAAAUGUUGUUGUUACUUUGAUCUGAAUAAGAUGUUCUAAAAUAAAAUUUGUCUCUGUGUCCAACAACAGGUCCUGGCAUACUCAAUCAGCAGAGUUUCUGUUUGUUUUGAUUUGCAAAGGAAAGCCAUGUUGCCACAUGUCUACUCAAAUAAAUUCACACCACCAUCUACACUGACUCAUUUAGAAGGAGCAAGUCCACAAAGCAAAAAUUAUAAUAUAUAUUAGAAAGUAUUCGUGCCAAACACAUCGAGAAUGAAAAAUGUCUCAUUUUUCUCCUUAUUUUAAUGAUAUCAUCUUUUGACUUUUACCUGCAUCCCGAGUCAAGCACAAAUGUGGAAAUGUAGAGUCACACAAAAUGAGAGGAUGGGGGUGGGGUGAGGGCAGAAAAGGCCGGAGAAAAGGGGUGGAGCAGGAAAGGCAUGGGUUAGUUUCUCUAGAUAGGAAUAUAGGCACAAAACACCCCUGACAAGGGAAUUUCAACUUGAAAGACUAUCUUCCCCAGCUAGGUGGCAUCUAGAACCCAGGAUUGCCAUUCAGAGAAAAGGAAAAAGAAAAUAAGAGAAACAGGAACAUAACGUUUUGUCCCGAGGACACAAGGACUUGUUUCUCUUUAAUAAAUGCAUGGGUUUAAAUAUGGAACCUUGUAUUUUAUAGUCAAAGCAAAUGAAACCCUAAGAUAAACAGUAAAAAUGUUUGUUGAUUACAUGUUACUGCAGCUUUUAUGUAUAUUGUGUAAAACAAAACAUGGAUAUUUCAUGAAAUGCUUCAAGCACAACUUUCUAAGGAAAAACAACCAUUUGUUCUGACACAAACUGCAUAUCCAAUAGGUGACAAAUCCUGUAGCAUUAAUUUUUUUUCUUAUAGAAACAGCAUUAAGUGUUUUUUGGGAAAUGAAAGAAUUACACUUUCCCCACCUCCCUGCCCCCCGCUUUAACAUACAACUUACUGGAUAAUCCAUAUGCAAGAAAAGCAUCUCUUGCCUACCAAGGUGCUUCCCACCUAUGUUGAGAACAGGACUUGGCCCUGCCCUUGGCCUCAUCUCCUCUCACGGCUGCCUGCCUUCUCUGAGCCAUGAGCUCUUGAAUGUCUCAGACUUUGUGCUUUCAUCUCUGUAUCCCAGAACCAAAAAGGAGCCCACUAAAUAUUCUGUUUUGACUCAAUAAACAGAGAGAUGGAUAACUUCAGACUACAAGUGAUGAAAUAUGUAAAUAAGAUUACAACUAAAAUAUAUAGUUUACAAAGCACUUUUAAUAAUCUGAUUUAUACUCAAAAUCAUGGUGUAAGGUAAACAUCUCCUAUCUGCAUUUUGCAAAUAAAGAAACAGAAGCUCAGAGAGAUUAAGUAGGCUUCCGAAGAGCACAGCUGAUGAAGUUGGUGAGUUGGGAUUUGAACCCAGUUCUUUCCUAAAAAUCCAUGUCAUAUGCCAUAAAAUGAUGUUUUGGUCAACAAUGGACCACAUAUAUGAUAGUGUUUCCGUAAGAUUAUAAUGGAGCUGCCCUAUACAGGUGCGCUCUUUUUAUCUUUUUAUUUUUAGUUUUAUUUUUUUGAGACAGGGUCUCACUCUGUUGCCCAGGCUGGAGUGCAGUGGUGCAAUCAUGACUCACAGCAGCCUUGACCUCUCUAGCUCAAGAGAUCAUCCCACCUCAGCCUCCCGAGUAGCUGGGAUCACAGGUGCAUGCUACCACACCCAACUAUUUGUUUUUUUUUUAAGAAAUGGUGUCUUAUUAUGUUGCCCAGGUGGCUCUCAAACUUCUGGGCUUAAGUGAUCUUGCCUUGACCUUCCAAAGUGCUGGAAUCAAAGGGGUGAGCCACCUCACCCAGCCUAUCUUUUAUACUGUAUAUUUACUGUACCUUUUCUAUGUCUAGAUGGACUUAGAUACAUAAAUACUUACCAUUGGGUUACAGUUGCCUGCAGUAUUCAGUAUAGUAACAUGCUGUGCAGGUUUGUAGCCUAGCAGCAAUAGGCCAUACCAGAUAGCCUGGGUGUGUCAUAGGUUCUACCAUCUAGGUUUGUUUGCAAACUGUGAUGCUGGCACAAUGAUGAAAUUGCCUAAGGACACAUUUCUCAGAACAUGUCCCCAUCAUUAAGUGAUGCAUGACUACUUUCUUCUACAUCCUGCUGCCUCUGAGAAGUAUUAUACACAAUGAGUAGAAGGUGAAAAGAUUAUAUAUUAAAAUUCAAUAUAUAUACUGAAUUUUAUUCAAGGUGAAUAAGAAAGCAGUCUAUUUUCAAAAAGUUCAGAAUAUUAAUGAUAUUUCAUGAAUGCCCACAUUCAUUUGGUUUGUUAUUUUUUUAUAAUAAAGGAGAAGAACCAGCAAUGCAAGUUUUAUAUCGCAAGAGAGUUGGCAGUGUUUUAUUAACCUUCCUGCUUAGUUGCCUUCAAUGAUAUAAUUACUGCUAUUUAUCAGUCUGUGCAGUUUUCCUGAAUUACAGCCUAGAGUUGUGUAACUUUCACUUAUAAAGAAGAAGGCUGGAGGGUGCAAAAUAUUCUAUUAUAAUCCUAUGAAAAUAUUUUGUAAAAUAUGUUUCCCUUUUGCAAUCCCCUAAUUAUUUCUUUUCCUGCAGUCUUGUCUUAAACUCAUUGACAGCCGGAAGAACCACCAGCACCUUUGCUAGCAAAGGGGGAAUUAGGGCCAUCAAUGCAUCCGGGAGGGUGUCAGCAACGUGGUCUCCCAAGAACCAAGUGAGCAACAGCUGCCUGCUGCCGUCUAACUUGCAGUUGAAAAGAACUCAGUGUGGCCCUGUAUUCCUAACUAUCCAAACACUGGGAAGAAGAAAGCCUUUGCAAGUCAUUAUUCUCUAUAUAUACAUCCACUUUCUUCUCUUAGGAGAGCAUGAUAUCAAUAGACCCUACAUAAAAGUUGUAAAAAAUGAAUCAGAGAUGGAGCAUUCACAGAGCUAGAUCUAGAAAUGUGAUUCCAUAGGAAGGAAAAACACACAGGAAUAGGUGGGUCAGAGCUUAAGAACACAUAUUUUCCCCAUCCCCAAUCCCUCUCUUGGAGGUAAACCUUUGACUCAGAAGAGACUCUGUACCAUACAUUCAUUCCCAGUGGAGAAUAUCAGUAUUUCCUGCUGUCUUUUCUGCUAUAAUAUUAUGUGCAGUCUAAGAAACGUUGCAAAUUCUACAAAACUAUGGCAAAUGUCCUGAGUGGGACUAAGAAAUCCUGAACACAGGGCAGUUGUUACAGAUUACCAGUGCUUUAUAGGGUUCUCAUUCAGUGUACAGUAUUUGAAUGAAACAGUAGUUGAAUACGGCUAUUCUCUCUCCUCUCUCCUCCUUGCAAACCUUCUGCCUCAAUAGCGAAUUCUGUGCUUUGAAAGUGUUACCAUUGCACCAGCUUCUCUCCUGCCUUCUCUUGGUCAUGACCUUCAUCCUGAGACAUUAGUUGGUCAGGUGUCUCCUUGCAUAGAGCUAAGAGCUGACUCACAACUCCAAUUUUCAUUAUUACCCUGAUUGUGAAGGCUUUGACUUCCCUACUUCCAGCUCUGCCGCUUUCUCUGGGCCCUGGAUAUAUUGCUUGCGUCCUCAACUCGCUAAUUUCACUUCAAACUCAUUAUGAGUUCAGAGAAGGAAGAGUGGUUGUAUCAUCCCAGGAGGGCUCAUGGAGGAGGCAGGGCUGGAGCUGUCAUGUUAGGUUUUUCUCUAUCAAAACCUGGCUAGAGCUUUUAUAUUAAGAAAAUGUAUUGAGUUAUUGGAAUUUAGUGUCAUGCCUUGUACACAUCCAGUGUUUCUCAUUAAAUCUGAAUUGCUCAUCUGAGGUCAGUAUUAAGUCCACAGAAAGUUGUGCUUGUUAGAGAAUCACAGAAUAAUGUAGUUUAUGAGAGAGCCUACUAAGAGGCAAAGUGCCCAUCAGGUUCACUGGGGCUCUUGCUGACCUCAGAGCUUGGAAGAAGCUCAUAGCAUGCACUUACUGUGGGCAGACAAUGAUCAGGUAUGCUAUGGGAGGAAAUGGAUAUUCCCAUGAGACAAAUCAUGCUUUACCAAGACAUCUGACUGGAAAUUAGAAAACAGGCUGGGCGCGGUGGCUCAUGCCUGUAAUCCCAGCACUUCGGGAGGCCAAGGCGGGUGGAUCACCUGAGGUCAGGAGUUCGAGACCGGGCUGACCAACAUGGUGAAACGUUUUCUCUACUAAAAAUACAAAAAUUAGCUGGACGUGGUGGCGGGUACCUGUAAUCCCAGCUACUCAGUAGUCUGAGGCAGGAGAACCACUUGAACCCAGGAGGUAAGGGUUGCAGUGAGCUGAGAUCAUGCCAUUGCUCUCCAGCCUGGGCGAUAAGAGCAAAACUCCAACUCAAAAAAAAAAAAAAAAAGAAAAGGAAAAGAAAAAAAAAAGAAAGAAAAGAAAAAGAAAUUAGAAAAAUAAAAUAAACAAGUAAUUAGUGGGGUUCAAGUUUAUCUCAUGGAAGAAAUGCAGAUACACAUAUUGAUAGAUGUUUUUCUAACACUUAAAAAAUAUAUAUAUAUACUAUAAACCCUAUAUUUGUGUCUAUUUCAGGCAUACUGGCCUCAAAACACUCUUCAGCUCUAUUUUCGCCAUGCACUGUCUGUACACCACUUAUAUGCAAAGGAACAUUUUAGUUAGAAGAAAUAGUCAAAGGAAGAAAUAAGCAACAGCUAAUUGGGAAACAGACAUUCUAAAACCAUGAUGAUGAUCAUUUUCAGAGGAGAUAGCCAUGAUUUAAUUGUUCUUUUUCCAGAAACUACCAGUGGAGUGUUUUGCCAGGUGUCCUGAAGCAAAUGCUACCACAAAGCUCCACGUGGAGCAGGACUCCUGUCUCUCCAAAUAUAGCCCCUUUGUGUUGAAGGCCAAGAAAUCCAAUGAUGGAAUGAAACAAUGGAAUUCUGCCCAGAAACUUUUAUAAAUAAUGAUCCCUUUGAUAAAAAUUGACUAGUAAGGAAACCACAAUUGCUCUUUUAGCAGUAAUUGUUUAAGAUAUUUGAUUAUAAAUGAACAACACAUGGUAGUCUGUGACCAAAACUAUUCUCAUUUAUUUUUUAAAUUUUAUUUUGUUUUAUUUUAAGUUCCAGGAUACAUGCGUAGGAUAUGUAGAUUUGUUAUAUGGGUAAAUGUGUACCAUGGAGGUUUGCUGCACCUAUGAACCCAUCACCUAGGUAUGAAGCCCCACAUGCAUUAGCUAUUUAUCCUGAUGUUCUCCCUUCCCUCUCCCCCACUCCCUGACAGGCCCCAGUGUGUGUUGUUUCCCUCCCUGUGUCCAUGUGUUCUCAUUGUCCAGCUCCCACUCAUAAGUGAGAGCAUGCUUGUUUGGUUUUCUGUUCCUGCAUUAGUUUGCUGAGGAUAAUGUCUUCCAGCUCCAUCCAUGUCCCUGCAAAGGACAUGAUCUCGUUUCUUUUUAUGGCUGCAUAGUAUUCCAUGGUGUAUAUGUACCACAUUUUCUUUAUCCAUUGUAUCCUUGAUGGACAUUUGGGUUAAUUCCAUGUCUUUGCUAUUGUGAACAGUGCUGCAGUGAACAUACAUGUGCAUGUAUCUUUAUAACAGAAUGAUUCAUAUUCCUUUGGGUAUAUAUAUACGUAAUAAUGGGAUUACUCGGUCAAAUGGUAGUUCUGCUUUUAGGUCUUUGAGGAAUUGCCACACUGUCUUCCACAAUGAUUGAACUAAUUUGCAUCCCCACCAACUGUGUAAAGGCAUUUCUUUUUUUCUGCAACCUCACCAACAUCUGUUGUUUCUUGACUUUUUAAUAAUUGCUAUUCUGAGUGGCAUGAGAUGGUAUCUCAUUGUGGUUUUGAUUUGCAUUUCUUUAAGGAUCAGUGAUGUUGAGCUUUUUUUCAUAUGUUUGCUGGCAGCAUAAAUGUCUUCUUUUGAGAAAUGUCUGUUCAUGUCCUUUGCCCACUUUUUUCUUCUUUCUUUUUUUUUUUUUUUGUUUCUUUUUUGAGAAGGAGUCUCACUCUGUUGCACAGGCUGGAGUGCAGUGGCACAAUCUUGGCGCACUACAACCUCCACCUUCUGGGUUUGAGUGAUUCUCCUGCCUCAGCCUCCCGAGUAGCUGGGACUGCAGGCAUGUACCACCACUCCUGGCUGAUUUUUGUAUUUUUAGUAGAGACAGAGUUUCACCAUGUUGGCCAGGCUGGUCUCGAACUCCUGACCUCAAGAGAUCCACCCACCUUGGCCUCCCAAAAUGCUGUGAUUACAGGCGUAAGCCACCAUGCCCAGUCCUUUGCUCACUUUUUAGCGGGGUUGUUUGUUUUUUUCUUGUAAAUUUGUUUAAGUUCCUUGUAGAUUCUGGAUAUUAGACCUUUGUCAGAUGGAUAGAUUGCAAAAAUUUUCUCCCAUUCUGUAGUUUGUCUGGUCACUUUGAUGAUAGUUUAUUUUGCUGUGCAGAAGCUCUUUAGUUUAAUUAGAUACCAUUUGUUAAUUUUUGCUUUUGUUGCAAUUGUUUUUGAUGUUUUUGUCAUGAAAUCUUUGCCCAUGGCUAUGUCUUGAAUGUUAUUGCCUAGAUUUUCUUCUAGGGUUUUUAUAGUUUUGGGUUUUACAUUUAAGUAUUUAAUUCAUAUUGAGUUAAUUUUUGUAUAAGAUAUAAGGAAGGGGUUCAGUAUUAAUUUUCUGCAUAUAGCUAGUCAGUUUUCCCAGCACCAUUUAUUAAGUAGGGAAUCCUUUCCCCAUUGCUUGUUUUUGUCAGCUUUGUUGAAGAUCAUAUGGUUGUAGAUGUGCAGUCUUAUUUCUGGGAUCUUUAUCCUGUUCCAUUGGUCUAUGUAUCUGUUUUUGUACCAGUACCAUGCUGUUUUGGUUACUGUAGCCUUGUAGUAUAGUUUGAAGUCAGGUAGCUUGCUGUCUCCAGCUUUGUUCUUUCUGCUUAGGAUUGUCUUCACUAUACAUGCUCUUUUUUGGCUCCAUACAAAUUUUAAAGCAGUUUUUUCUAAUUCUGUGAAGAAUGUCAAUGGUAGUUUAAUGGGAAUAGCAUUGAAUCUAUAAAUUGCUUUAAGCAGUAUGGCCAUUUUCACAAUAUUGAUUAGAAGAUUCUCAUUUUUAUGUGUGCUUCCCAAAGGAAGAAGUGAUGGGUAUAAGAUAAGCACAGAAGGAUUAAUAUAAAAUCUAUGAUCUUUACACAUAUCUCAGACUUUAGUAGAUAUAGGAUCUACCUCCAAGAUGCAGAUGGAGAGAAUGUGUGCCAACUUUUAAACUGGAUCAUAAGGCUCCCCAAAUACCUUACUGCUUAUCCUCCAAAUGGAUGGCAAGACCUGCCUGCAGGUUUCCAUAGAACCCUGUGCUUUAAUAUGUCUUAAGACUUACAGAGGGUAUUAUAAUUGCUGUUAUUUCUUGUCUACUCCAUGCAGGGAGAGUCUAUGCCCUUUGUUUCUUUAUGCUCAGUAUUUAGUAUAGUUCAUAGCACAUAGUAGGUACUUGCUAAUAAUAAACAAAUCUUGAUUCAGAAGGUAUAUGCUUAUUCUGUAUAAAGUGUCCUGCUAGUUACCGUGGAGGACACGGAGAUGUAAAAGAUAUGAGACUCUACCUAAUCCAAGAUUUAUCUCCAGGCUUAUAUGGAACAUUUCUGCUUAACUCAUUCUGGAUUUUUAUCUGUCAGUUCUUCGUGUGCUUAGUGACUGCAGUAAAGUAAGUGCUCAUUAAAUGUAUGGUGAAGGAAUGAAGAAAUGUACCUACCUGGCAGUCUUGAUUAAUUUGACAUCAAAAGCUUGGGACUGCUGUGGCUCAUGCCUAUAAUCCCAGUACUUUGGGAGGCUGGGGCAAGAAGAUCACUUGAAGCCAGGUGUUCAAGACUAGCCUGGGCAACAUAAUGAGACCUCAUCUCUACAACAACAACAAAAGCUUGGGGCUAAUAGCUCUCACUGUAUGAAUGAAAUCCUCCAACCUCUCACAGGCUGUUUCCUCAGCCAGUUGUGUUCAACACUCUUAAUAUUUAACUGCAGCAUGGAUCCCUGAAGCAGGUACUAACAAUAUGGAUUUUGUUCACCAUUGCAUUCUCAGCCUCGAACCCAUGGUAGAUGAUCAGUAAAUCUUUGCCAGAUGAAUGAAGUUGUUAAUGUUUCCUUUUUAGCCUAUAUAGAGGAGAUGCUAAAAGUAAACAAAUAACUAUGAUGGAAAAUAAAGAGUUAAAGAGAAGUAAAACAAAGUGUUUUAGGGGGUUCACUUGUGGGCAAGGCAAUGUCUCGUGGGGGUAAAAUAUACUUGUAAAUAAAAUGUAUCAAUUUUUAUAUUAUUUAGGGUAGAUCUUAGAAUGUCAGAAGGUGUGGCUAUCAGGGAGGACAUUAACUUAUAUAUUUUUAAAACUCAUGCAUUAAAGUUACAGAAUUCUUUGAUUCAGAGAUGUGGAGUUUAAAAGUUACAUAGAAUUCUUAUCUGUAUGUCCACAGGGAAAAUCCAGUAUUUUAAAGGGUUUUUAUUACAUGGAAUGUUGACAGAUGUUUCUUUUCAAGAUUUAGAAGUGAAGGGCUUCAAAAUCUAAUUAUAUGAAAUUAAUGUAAAGCACUAAAACACAUUCCUACAAGAGUUUAAAGUGUUUUGGUAUCUGAAAAUAGACCCUAUGUCUUUUCAGAACUAAAAGCCAUCUAAAUGAAUAAACUCUUUAAGAGAAAUAAUUUUACUUUUAACAAUAAUUAUAUUUAAUAUAUGAUGUAAAUAAAAUAGAAACCAUCAAAGCAAUUCCUAAAACAUUUGCUAACCAUGUAGACAUCUAUGGCUCAGUAACAAGAUCUAAAACCUCAGAAGUAAGGGCCUUCGGCCUGUGCUGUGUCUGCAGUGAGUGGAUUUCAUAACGUGGGAAAGUCCACACAGUUUUCUUCCUUGUUGAUGAAAAAAUGAGCUACAUUAGAAAAUUGCCUUUCAUUGUGCCAAGUCAUCUGCAAAUCUUGUUAAAAUGUAGGCUCUGAUUGAGUAGGUGUAGGGUGGGGCCUGAGAUUCUGCAUUUCCAAGAAGCUCCUGGUGAUGUCACACUGCUGGUUCUUGACCUCACCUUGAGUAAUGUAGAAUUUGAAGUCUCCUAAGAGUCCUGCUGCCCCAGGGUCCUAGGUGAGGUUUCCAGGGUUCUAGUAUGAAGACCUUGUCAUCAGACAUCAACUGGGAUGAUGGUUCAACUACAGAAGGUGUCUAUAAGACCUUCUCACUGAGUGUGCACAGUGCUUUUCAUUCCUUUACCACUUCAGCUUGAAGGAAUAAUCUCCCUGAUUGUCUUUGACAUACAGCCUACUCCCUUCAUCUCCCCCUGUUUAAGUGCCAGAAUAUAGUGGUACUGAAAUUCCAGUAUAUAACAGAAUAUACCUUGUGUGACUUCAGGCUCUUUGAGGAACCUGGUCAGUACUUGUUACAUCAUCUGUCAAUCAAAACUUCUGAUAAUUUACUGAGCCCUACCAUAUGUCAGAGGCUCUCUGUAUAAUGCAAGGUAUGUGUCACUAUCAUUUAUUUUGCAGAUGAGGACACUGAAGCUAAGACAGAUAAAGUGAAGUCUAGGGUCACCCAGCCAUGAAGAGGAGCCAGGUUUUGAAUCAUAGUCUCACUGGUGCCCAAGCUUUGGUCUUUCUGAUAUACCACACUGCCUCUCUGAGGGAGACACUAGGCUGGAUCAAGAGAAAGGUUCAAAGAUGUGCGUGGGAUAUUGUGGGUUUCAAGAAGUUUUUCAUAUAAGAGCAAUAAGAGAUGACAAAAAAGCAACACAGAGUGAAAGGCCCAAUGACUAUGCCAGAAAUAAGUUUCAUGGGAAUGAGGAGGAAGGAGGAGGUGGCGUACACAUGAGGGGCCUGGGAAGGUAUCCUAGAGAAGGGGGCCUCUGAGUCAGGUCUUGAAAAAUGAGUGGGAAUUGAAGGAGUGAGAAGAGAGCCUCACAGGCUGUGAGAGCAGGGGUGGACUCUCCUUCCAAACAUGAAUGAUUUCAAAGGUUUUUAAGGUGACAACAAGAAAGGCUACCAUGAUGGGCCUUUAAUGCCAGACUGAAGAAUCUGGACAUUGUCCUUUUACCAGUGGGGGAAGCUCUUGAUAUUUUAAAAUAGUAUCAGAAUGAUAUUGUAGAAGGAACAAUAUAUCAGAACUAUACUUUAGGAGAUUAAUCUGAGAGCCAUAUAUGCAAACAACUAGAGCAGGAAGACAGGAGGUUAGUUUCCUCAUCUGUAAAUUGAAGAAAAAACAGUAACUACCUCAUAGGUUUGUUUGUAGAAUUAGAUGAGAUAAAGCCAGGCACAGCAACUCAUGCCCGUAAUUCCAACAUUUUGGGAGGCCGAGGUGGGAGGAUUGCUUGAGUGUAGGAGUUCAAGACCAGAGUGGGCAACAUGGCCAAAAAUACAAACAUUAGCUAGGUAUGGUGGGGGUGGCACACGCCUGUGGUCCCAGCUACUUGGGAGGCUGAAGUGGGAAGAUCACCUGGGCCCAGGGAGGUCAAGGCUCCAGUGAGCCAUGAUCACGCCACUGCACUCCAGUCUGGGCAACAGAGUGAGACCUUGUCUCAAAAAACAGAAAAAUUAAAUUAAAUGUAAAAAUUUGAAAGAAAAGAAUUAGGUGAGAUAUAUGUAUGUAAAGCCCUUAGCAUAGUGCCUGACACAUACAUGUUCAAAAACGUGAGCUAUCAUUACUUCAGCAUUCUAGUCAUGAUGGUGAAUGAGCCCAAAUUCUGUAUUUAUUUACAUUUAACAAAUAUUAUUGUCAGUUCUUCAUUUUAGAGUCUCUUAGUACAGUUCCAGGCCAUGGAAGUUACUCAGCAUCAGGUAGUGUUGCUGUUAUCAUCAUUAUUUCCCUCUUGCACUCUUCCUCCAGGUAGGUAUGAAUUUGUUUCAUCUCUUCUCUGACUUUAAUUAUUAUCAGGGGGUACAAUGACUUUCCUUUGCCUUAAUGUUGCCUCAUUGCUUGUGUCAGUCCUUCCUCCUUUAAUUCUACUCCAAUUAUCCAUAAGAAGCCUUUCUGAACAUGCUUCCUGCCUGCAGGCACAAGUAUAUGAAGGAAGGGCUAUAAUUCUGAGAAAAAUUUAAGAAGAAAUGGGCAAGUCCAGUCUUUCUAAGAAAAAGAAACUCAAGGUGGAGGCCGGGCGCAGUGGCUCACACCUGUAAUCCCAGCACUUUGGGAGGCUGAGGCGGGCGGAUCACGAGGUUAGGAGAUCGAGACCAUCCUGGCUAACACGGUGAAACCCUGUCUCUACCAAAAAUACAAAAAUAUUAGCCAGGCAUGGUGGGGGGUGCCGGUAGUCCCAGCUACUCAGGAGGCUGAGGCAGGAGAAUGGCAUGAACCCGGGAGGCUGAGCUUGCAGUGAGCCAAGAUCACACCACGGUUCUCCAGCCUGGUCAACAGAGCGAGACUCCGUCUCAAAAACAAAAGAAAAAAGAAAAA